UUUGUGUUUAGGUUGGUGUAGACAGAAUCAAUUUUCCCAUUGAAGUCCACUGUCAUGCGCUGCUGUGCCUCAAGAACCCUAUCAAGCAUCUCUUCAAUCUUUCUCUCUUGAGUAGGCGGCGGUGGCUUCUGGUAGUAGGAAUUUCCAUAACUCAUGUUAUUGCUGUAGGGUUUCUGGUACUGCGAACUCUGGUUGAAAUUACCCUUAUUUCCAUAAGAAUUUCUGUUUCCAC
rnacentral:lncRNA from 1 species